UACGCGCGAUAUUACAAUGUUAUCAUGGCGCGUGCGCACCGGCAACGCGGUAACGUAAAGAUGGUGAAAGUGCCGGUGCCGUUACUGUGGUAAAUCGCCGCGCGCCCGCGUCGAACGCGUGUACGCAGGAAAACUAUCCGAAAACGAAAACGCGACGAUUAUCGUUUCGUCAAUCGCCUCGGCGCGUAAUGCACAAACGAAAUCGCGGGACGCGCGUCCGGGUAAAAAUACGAAUUACAGUUUAAUUUGUUUUGUGCGUGGCCCCGGGCAGCAGACGAAACGAGAGAAAAUACACCGAGACGGCGUGGGCGCAUUACGAGAUGAGAAGAACCACGAUCGGCGCGAAUUAAAUGGAAACAAACGCAGGAGGGACGGCGGGAGAACAAGACCGGGAAAAAGAGGCUGUUGAACGCGAUUGAAAAUAAUACAAGGACGGUGGGUCUACGCGAGAACUAUGUGGGAGAUCGGAUGAAGUGGAGGAUCUGGACGACGGUGACCGAUUUCAAAUAGUUGGGAUGAAGGCGAAGGACAAG